rnacentral:rRNA from 1 species
CAUUUUGAACCGCAUGGUUCGAAAUUGAAAGGCGGCUUCGGCUGUCACUUAUGGAUGCUGAUGGACCCGCGUCGCAUUACCUAGUUGGUGAGGUAACGGCUCACCAAGGCAACGAUGCGUACCCAACCUAUCUUAGUGAUCGGCCACACUGGGACUGAAACACGGCCCAAACUCCUACGGGAGGCAGCAUUAGGGAAUCUUCCGCAAUGGACAAAAGUCUGACGGACCAACGCCCCGUGAGUGAUGAAGGCUUUCGGGUCGUAAAACUCUGUUGUUAGGGAAAAACAAGUGCUAAUUGAAUAAGCUGGCCCCUUGACGGUCCCUAACCAAAAAGCCACGGCUAACUACGUGCCCACACCCGCGGUAAUACAUAUGUGGCAAGCGUUAUCCGGAAUUAUUGGGCGUAAAGCGCGCGCAGGUGGUAUCGGUAUGUCUGAUGUGAAAGCCCACGGCUCACCCGUGGAGGGUCUUUGGAAACUGGGAGACUUGAUGCAAAAGAGGAAAGUGAAUUUCCAUGUGUAGCGGUGAAAUGCGUAGAGAUUUGGAGGAACACCAGUGGCGAAGGCGACUUUCUGGUCUGUAACUGACACUGAGGCGCGAAAGCGUGGGGAGCAACAGGAUUAGUACCUUGUAGUCCACGCCGUAAACGAUGAGUGCUAAGUUUAGAGGGUUUCCCCCCUUUAGUGGUGAAGUUAAGCAUUAAGCACUCCCCCUGGGGAGUACGGCCGCAAGGGUGAAAUUCAAAGGAAAUGGGGGGGUAGUUCCCAAGGGGGAUGCUCAUGUGGUUUAAUUGGAAGCAACGGGAAGAACCUUACCAGGUUUUGACAUCCUUUGACAACCUACAGUCGGGGCUUUUCCUUCGGGAACAGAGUGACCGGUGGGGCAUGGUUGUUGUCAGCUUGUGUUGUGAGAUGUUGGGUUAAAUUCCGCAACGAGGGCAACCCUUGAUUUUAGUUGCCAUCAUUAAGUUGGGCAAUUUAAGGUGAAUGCCGGGGGCAAACCGGAGGAAGGGGGGGAAGAAGUCAAAUCAUCAUGCCCCUUAUGACCUGGGGUACACACGUGGUACAAUGGACGGUACAAAGCAUGCUGGAUGCAAGACCGGGAGGUGGAGCUAAUUUCACGUUUUCAGUUUGGAUUGUAGGGUGCAAAUUGCCUACAUGAAGCUGGGAUCGGU